rnacentral:rRNA from 1 species
GGACUACCGGGGUAUCUAAUCCCGUUCGCUCCCCUGGCUUUCGCAUCUGAGCGUCAGGUGCUCCCCAGGACACUGCCUUCGCCUUCGGUGUUCCUCCGGAUAUCUACGCAUUUCACCACUCCACCCGGAAUUCCGUGUCCCUCUGAAGCCCUCAAGUCCCGCAGUUUUCAAAGCACUUUCCCGGUUGAGCCGGAAACUGUCACUCCAAACUUACAGGACCGCCUGCAUGCGCUUUACGCCCAAUAAAUCCGGACAACGCUUGCCCCCUACGUAUUACCGCGGCGGCUGGCAC